AUGAACAAUUUUAAAGUAAACAUGGACCUGCUUUCUUUUCCCCUUUGGGGCUGGAGAUCAGUGAGUCGUCCUUGUUUGAAGAAAAUAUUCCUGGUAGAAACAAUCUCUCUGCGGAUGGGUAUCUUGGAGGAGAUGGCCGAGGAUCAGCACAGACAGAUGGAGUUCGUGCCUCAGAACUCAUCCUGCCAGCAGUUUGAAGCUCAAACAUAGCUGCAGUGCCAGUAUGAUGGUGCACGCCAGUAAUCUCAGCGCUCAGGAGGCCCAGGCAGGAGGACCUCUGAGAAUUCGAGGCCAGCCUGAACUACAUAGCAAGACCCUGUCUCAAAAAACAAAAGUUUAGCUACACUGAAUUGGAGCAACUAGACUUUGGGGGGCAUUUAUCUCAGAG
rnacentral:lncRNA from 1 species